rnacentral:tRNA from 1 species
GUUGUGUUGUAACAGAAACAG